CACAGUUCCUCAGAACUCAGAGAGGGCUCUCCGCCUGGGGAAAUAAAGUACAGACUGAAAAACAUAUCUGGAACUCGGAUGAACACUACCCUGAUUACUGCCAAAGCAAACACUGUCUUUGGCUGACCCAUUUGCAUACUCACCAGCAACAG